GGUUGCUGGUGAGUUUAAAUGAGCCGGGGCUGGCCGGGCCGGAGCCGCUACGGGGGGGGCCUGAGGCACUGCAGAAAGUGGGCCUGAGCCUCCAGGAUGACGGUGCUGCAGGAACCUGUCCAGGCUGCUAUAUGGCAAGCACUAAACCACUAUGCUUACAGAGAUGCAGUUUUCCUCGCAGAGCGACUAUAUGCAGAAGUACACUCAGAAGAAGCCUUGUUUUUACUGGCAACCUGUUAUUACCGCUCAGGAAAGGCAUAUAAAGCAUAUAGACUCUUGAAAGGACACAGUUGUACUACACCGCAAUGUAAAUACCUGCUUGCAAAAUGUUGUGUUGAUCUCAGCAAGCUUGCAGAAGGGGAACAGAUCUUAUCUGGUGGAGUGUUUAAUAAGCAGAAAAGCCAUGAUGAUAUUGUUACUGAGUUUGGUGAUUCAGCUUGCUUUACUCUUUCAUUGUUGGGACAUGUAUAUUGCAAGACAGAUCGGCUUGCCAAAGGAUCAGAAUGUUACCAAAAGAGCCUUAGUUUAAAUCCUUUCCUCUGGUCCCCCUUUGAAUCAUUAUGUGAAAUAGGUGAAAAGCCAGAUCCUGACCAAACAUUUAAAUUAACAUCUUUACAGAACUUUAGCAGCUGUCUGCCCAACUCUUGCACAACACUAGUAUCUAAUCAUAGUUUAUCUCACAGACAGCCUGAGACAGUUCUUACAGAAACACCCCAGGACACAAUUGAAUUAAACAGAUUGAAUUUAGAAUCUUCCAAUUCAAAGUACUCAUUGAAUACAGAUUCUUCAGUGUCUUAUAUUGAUUCAGCUGUAAUUUCACCAGAUACUGUCCCUCUUGGAACAGGAACUUCCAUAUUAUCUAAACAAGUUCAAAAUAAACCAAAAACUGGUCGAAGUUUAUUAGGAGGACCAGCUGCUCUUAGCCCAUUAACCCCAAGUUUUGGGAUUUUGCCAUUAGAAACCCCAAGUCCUGGAGAUGGAUCCUAUUUACAAAACUACACUAAUACAUCUUCUGUAAUUGACGUGCCAUCAACCGGAGCCCCUUCAAAAAAGUCUGUUGCCAGAAUCGGCCAAACUGGAACAAAGUCUGUCUUCUCACAGAGUGGAAACAGUCGAGAGGUAACUCCAAUUCUUGUUGCACAAACACAAAGUUCUGGCCCACAAACAAGUACAACACCUCAGGUAUUGAGCCCCACUAUCACAUCUCCCCCAAAUGCACUGCCUCGAAGAAGUUCACGACUUUUUACUAGUGACAGCUCUACAACCAAGGAGAAUAGCAAAAAAUUAAAAAUGAAGUUUCCACCUAAAAUCCCAAACAGAAAAACAAAAAGUAAAACUAAUAAAGGAGGAAUAACUCAACCUAACAUAAAUGAUAGCCUAGAAAUAACUAAAUUAGACUCUGCAAUCAUUUCAGAAGGGAAAAUCUCCACAAUCACACCUCAGAUCCAGGCAUUUAAUCUACAGAAAGCAGCAGCAGAAGGUUUGAUGAGCCUUCUUCGUGAAAUGGGGAAAGGUUAUUUAGCUUUGUGCUCAUACAACUGCAAAGAAGCUAUAAAUAUCUUGAGCCACCUACCUUCUCACCACUACAAUACUGGUUGGGUCCUGUGCCAGAUUGGAAGGGCCUAUUUUGAACUUUCAGAGUACAUGCAAGCUGAAAGAAUAUUCUCAGAGGUUAGAAGAAUUGAGAAUUACAGAGUCGAAGGCAUGGAGAUCUACUCUACAACACUUUGGCAUCUUCAAAAGGAUGUUGCUCUUUCAGUUCUUUCGAAAGACUUAACAGAUAUGGAUAAAAAUUCACCAGAGGCCUGGUGUGCUGCAGGGAACUGUUUCAGUUUGCAACGGGAACAUGAUAUUGCGAUUAAAUUCUUCCAGAGAGCUAUCCAGGUUGAUCCAAAUUAUGCUUAUGCCUAUACUCUAUUAGGGCAUGAGUUUGUGUUAACUGAAGAAUUAGACAAAGCGUUAGCUUGUUUUCGAAAUGCUAUCAGAGUCAAUCCUAGACAUUAUAAUGCAUGGUAUGGUUUAGGAAUGAUUUAUUACAAGCAAGAAAAAUUCAGCCUUGCAGAAAUGCAUUUCCAGAAAGCACUUGACAUCAACCCUCAAAGUUCAGUUUUGCUUUGCCACAUUGGAGUAGUUCAGCACGCACUGAAAAAAUCUGAGAAGGCUUUGGAUACCCUAAACAAAGCCAUUGUUAUUGAUCCUAAGAACCCUCUAUGCAAAUUUCACAGAGCCUCAGUUUUAUUUGCAAAUGAAAAAUAUAAGUCUGCUUUACAAGAACUUGAAGAAUUGAAACAAAUUGUUCCCAAAGAGUCCCUCGUUUACUUCUUAAUAGGAAAGUGCUGCUGUUUAUUUUUAGGUUUACAAGAAGUUAGGUCAAACGCACCUCGCCCUGAUGAAUUUCUCUUGGGCUAUGGAUUUAGAUCCUAAAGGAGCCAAUAACCAGAUUAAAGAGGCAAUUGAUAAGCGCUACCUUCCAGAUGAUGAGGAGCCAAUCACCCAAGAGGAACAGAUCAUGGGAACAGAUGAAUCCCAGGAGAGCAGCAUGACAGAUGCAGAUGACACACAACUUCAUGCAGCUGAAAGUGAUGAAUUUUAACUUCUGGAAAUCAAGACUUUUGCAACUGGAUGUGUGACUAGUGCUGAUGUGUUUCUUGUCCUUCCAUAUACUGAGUCUUCACUCUUGAGCCAGCAGUGUCAUCAUCCAUCACUUAUACCCUGAGUGUGCCCCUUUCAUUGGACCCUGACUGUACACAGAAUGAAAGGCAGUGCAAUAUUUAGCUGCUAACAAGACUGGCUCUCUCACCAGUAUGAAUGACAAUUUAGGGGGUAGGUAGGGUGGGAAACUUUCUUUUCUUUUUUUUUCUUUAAUCUCCCUUUGUUGGAAAGCUAUCAUGGAAGGAAAAGUUUUGUUUUAUCUUGAAGGAACCAUUAGAGAUGGAAAAUGGUGAUGAACCAGAAUCUCUUGGUCGUUUUUCCAAAAAUUUGUUUUACUUGGUUCUGUUCCUGAUAAACAAAGUGACUGAUCUUCAUUUCUAGGUUCUUCAAGAAUGGUGUUAGCAAGUGCCAGAUGGAACAAUAAAAGACAUUGCCUAUAACAGA